rnacentral:rRNA from 1 species
GCGAAAGGGAAGCCGGUUAACAUUCCGGCACCUGGAUGUGGAUUAUCCGCGGCAACGCAACUGAAAGCGGAGACGUCGGCGGGGGCCCCGGGAAGAGUUCUCUUUUCUUCUUAACAGUCCGUCACCCUGAAAUCGGUUUGUCCGGAGCUAGGGUUUAACGACUGGUAGAGCGGCACACCUUUGUGCCGUCCGGUGCGCUCCCGACGGCCCUUGAAAAUCCGCUGGAAGGAAUGAUUUUCACGCCAGGUCGUACUCAUAACCGCAGCAGGUCUCCAAGGUGAACAGCCUCUAGUUGAUAGAACAAUGUAGAUAAGGGAA